rnacentral:rRNA from 1 species
GUAGGUGGCAAGCGUUGUCCGGAAUUAUUGGGCGUAAAGCGCGCGCAGGCGGGUUCUUUAAGUCUGAUGUGAAAGCCCACGGGCUCAACCGUGGAGGGUCAUUGGAAACUGGAGAACUUGAGUACAGAAGAGGAAAGCGGAAUUCCACGUGUAACGGUGAAAUGCGUAGAGAUGUGGAGGAACACCAGUGGCGAAGGCGGCUUUCUGGUCUGUAACUGACGCUGAGGCGCGAAAGCGUGGGGAGCAAACAGGAUUAGAUACCCUGGUAGUCCACGCCGUAAACGAUGAGUGCUAAGUGUUAGGGGGUUUCCGCCCCUUAGUGCUGCAGCUAACGCAUUAAGCACUCCGCCUGGGGAGUACGGCCGCAAGGCUG